UGGCUCAGUGGUAGAGCGCUUGCCUUGCAUGUAUGAGGCCCUGGGUUCGAUUCCUCAG
rfam:Dipodomys ordii contig_98877, whole genome shotgun sequence.